GUGAGUAAUGUGUUGCUGAAUGUUUGAUUGUUCUUGCACUGCUAUUCUUGCUGCUUUUCAAUUCUCAACCUCACAUUACAGAG
rnacentral:pre_miRNA from 1 species